rnacentral:rRNA from 1 species
AGUGAACGCUGGCGGUAGGCCUAACACAUGCAAGUCAAACGGCAGCACAGGAGAGCUUGCUCUCUGGGUGGCGAGUGGCGGACGGGUGAGGAAUACAUCGGAAUCUACUCUGUCGUGGGGGAUAACGUAGGGAAACUUACGCUAAUACCGCAUACGACCUACGGGUGAAAGCAGGGGAUCUUCGGACCUUGCGCGAUUGAAUGAGCCGAUGUCUGAUUAGCUAGUUGGCGGGGUAAAGGCCCACCAAGGCGACGAUCCGUAGCUGGUCUGAGAGGAUGAUCAGCCACACUGGAACUGAGACACGGUCCAGACUCCUACGGGAGGCAGCAGUGGGGAAUAUUGGACAAAGGGCGCAAGCCUGAUCCAGCCAUACCGCGUGGGUGAAGAAGGCCUUCGGGUUGUAAAGCCCUUUUGUUGGGAAAGAAAUCCAGCUGGCUAAUACCCGGUUGGGAUGACGGUACCCAAAGAAUAAGCACCGGCUAACUUCGUGCCAGCCGCCGCCGUAA